AAGGAAUAUUGGACAAUGGGCGGAAGCCUGAUCCAGCCAUGCCGCGUGAAGGAUGAAGGCGCUCAGCGUUGUAAACUUCUUUUGGAUGGGGACAAUAACUUUCAUUUAUGGGAGCUUGAGGGUACCAUCAGAAUAAGCUCCGGCUAACUCCGUGCCAGCAGCCGCGGUAAUACGGAGGGUGCAAGCGUUAUCCGGAAUCACUGGGUUUAAAGGGUGCGUAGGCGGUCAGAUAAGUCAGUCGUGAAAUUCCUCGGCUUAACCGGGUGGACUGCGAUUGAUACUGUUUGACUUGAAUGAGGCUGAGGUAGGCGGAAUGUGGCAUGUAGCGGUGAAAUGCUUAGAUAUGCCAUAGAACACCGAUUGCGAAGGCAGCUUGCUGGGCCUUCAUUGACGCUGAGGCACGAAAGCGUGGGGAGCAAAC
rnacentral:rRNA from 1 species